CCUACGGGUGGCAGCAGUGAGGAAUAUUGGUCAAUGGGCGAGACCCUGAACCAGCCAAGUCGCGUGAGGGAGUACUGCCCUAUGGGUUGUAAACCUCUUUUGUCAGGGAGCAAAAGCCGGAUGUCUCCGGCGGUGACACUACCCGACUAAAAAGCAUCAGCUAACUCCGUGCCAGCAGCCGCGGUGAUACGGAGGAUGCGAGCGUUAUCCGGAUUUAUUGGGUGUAAAGGGUGCGCAGGCGGAGUUUUAAGUCAGCGGUAAAAUCUCGGGGCUCAACCCCAAGCAGCCGUUGAAACUGGGGAGCUAGAGUGAGCGAGAGGUAUGCGGAAUGCGUGGUGUAGCGGUGAAAUGCAUAGAUAUCACGCAGAACCCCGGUUGCGAAGGCAGCAUACCGGUGCACAACUGACGCUCAGGCACGAAAGUGUGGGUAUCGAACAGGAUUAGAUACCCGUGUAGUC
rnacentral:rRNA from 1 species